GACAGAGGAUGCAAGCGUUAUCCGGAAUGAUUGGGCGUAAAGCGUCUGUAGGUGGCUUUUUAAGUCUGCCGUCAAAUCCCAGGGCUUAACCCUGGACAGGCGGUGGAAACUACCAAGCUGGAGUACGGUAGGGGCAGGGGGAAUUUCCGGUGGAGCGGUGAAAUGCGUAGAGAUCGGGAAGAACAUCGGUGGCGAAAGCGCUCUACUGGACCGCAACUGACACUCAGGGACGAAAGCUAGGGGAGCGAAUGGG
rnacentral:rRNA from 1 species